UACGUAGGCAGCGAGCGUUGUUCGGAGUUACUGGGCGUAAAGCGUGCGUAGGCGGUGUUCCAAGUCUGUUGUGAAAUCUCCCGGCUUAACUGGGAGGGUGCGGCGGAAACUGGAACGCUGGAGUAUGGGAGAGGUAAGCGGAAUUCCUGGUGUAGCGGUGAAAUGCGUAGAUAUCAGGAGGAACACCUGCGGUGUAGACGGCUUACUGGACCAUAACUGACGCUGAGACGAAAGCGUGGGUAGCAAACAGG
rnacentral:rRNA from 1 species